rnacentral:lncRNA from 1 species
GUUUUUUCUGUAAUAUAUUUCAAAACCUUAUUACCAUGAAAUUUCUAUAUAGGAUAGUCUUGAUUUUGAUGAUAAUGCGUCUUUAGAUUUGACUAAUAUAUGAAACCUGAGUUAUGAUCUGCUGUUUGUUAGAGCAAAUGUAAAAAUUUAAAUUUUUAUUUUAUUUGAAUUAUCAAUAAUUUUAAAUCUACCAAAGAAAAGUCUGAAGCUGUUGUAUCAUGAGAGAACUACUAAACAUAUAUACAUGUAUGUGUGUGGGUGUGUGCACACACAUAUGCAUUGUGUAUGUGUGCAUGUGUGCAGUGUUGGCUCGAGAAAAAGUGGAGCCUGGUGCAAAGUUGUUAUGUGGAGCCCUUUAAUAAUAAUAAUAAAAGUUUUGAGUAAGAAUUGGAUCAUGCAAGAUCACAAGACCUUGUGUGGUUGCACUAUUCACACCACUCUCCAGCCAGUCCUGUUUGUGUGUGAUAUAUAAAUAGUCCUUGAUGUAUGAUUAAUUCAGUUUCAAAAAUUUUGAACUCCUCAGUAAUAAGUUGCAAAUACCCAAAAUUUAUGGCUUUCUUGUCAUUAAUGUUUACUAUCAAAUAUAUAUAUAUCUUAAUAGUUUCAGAACUACUUUGCUUCACUUAUAUACAACACAAAAACGGGCUCUAUAAGCAAAGAAGGGACUUUUACUACGGUCAAGCGUUUCUGGGCUGUAGGCUUGGCCCCUCAUCAGUGCUGUGCAACUACAUAAAAUUAUUCUUGAAAUGCUCA